rnacentral:rRNA from 1 species
CCUACGGGAGGCAGCAGUGGGGAAUAUUGCACAAUGGGCGCAAGCCUGAUGCAGCGACGCCGCGUGAGGGAUGACGGCCUUCGGGUUGUAAACCUCUGUUAGCAUCGAAGAAGCGAAAGUGACGGUAGGUGCAGAGAAAGCGCCGGCUAACUACGUGCCAGCAGCCGCGGUAAUACGUAGGGCGCGAGCGUUGUCCGGAAUUAUUGGGCGUAAAGAGCUUGUAGGCGGUUGGUCGCGUCUGCUGUGAAAGGCUGGGGCUUAACCCUGGUUUUGCAGUGGGUACGGGCUAACUAGAGUGCAGUAGGGGAGACUGGAAUUCCUGGUGGAGCGGUGGAAUGCGCAGAUAUCAGGAGGAACACCGAUGGCGAAGGCAGGUCUCUGGGCUGUAACUGACGCUGAGAAGCGAAAGCAUGGGGAGCGAACAGGAUUAGAUACCCUUGUAGUC